rnacentral:rRNA from 1 species
GACGAACGCUGGCGGCGUGCUUAACACAUGCAAGUCGAGCGGAAAGACCCUGCUUUUGUGCGGUGCUCGAUUGCCGAAGGGGUGAGUAACACGUGAGUAAACUGCCCUUGACUUUGGGAUAACUUCAGGAAACUGGGGCUAAUACCGGAUAGGAGCUCCUGCUGCAUGGUGGGGGUUGGAAAGUUUCGGCGGUUGGGGAUGGACUCGCGGCUUAUGAGCUUGUUGGUGGGGUAGUGGCUUACCAGGGCUUUGACGGGUAGCCGGCCUGAGAGGGUGACCGGCGACAUUGGGACUGAGAUACGGACCAGACUCGUACGGGAGGCAGCAGUGGGGAAGAUUGCACAAUGGGGGGAAGCCUGAUGCAGCAACGCCGCGUGCGGGAUGAUGGCCUUCGGGUUGUAAACCGCUUUCGCCUGUGACGAAGCGUGAGUGACGGUACUGGGUAAAGAAGCACCGGCUAACUACGUG